rnacentral:rRNA from 1 species
UACAGAGGGUGCAAGCGUUAAUCGGAAUGACUGGGCGUAAAGGGCGCGUAGGCGGUCGAAAAAGUAAGAAGUUAAAGAUCCGAGCUCAACUUGGAGAAUGCUUCUUAAACUGGUUGACUAGAGUCUAGAAGAGGGGUGUGGAAUUUCCGGAGUAGCGGUAAAAUGCGUAGAGAUCGGAAGGAACACAGAUGGCGAAAGCAGCACCCUGGGCUAAGACUGACGCUGAGGCGCGAAAGCGUGGGGAG